rnacentral:rRNA from 1 species
UACAGAGGGUGCGAGCGUUAAUCGGAAUUACUGGGCGUAAAGCGCGCGUAGACGGUUUUGUAAGUCAGAUGUGAAAUCCCCGGGCUCAACCUGGGAACUGCAUCUGAAACUGCAUGGCUAGAGUACGGUAGAGGGAAGUGGAAUUUCCGGUGUAGCGGUGAAAUGCGUAGAUAUCUGCAGGAACACCCGUGG